GAUGAACGCUAGCGAUAGGCCUAACACAUGCAAGUCGAGGGGCAGCACAUGAGGUAGCAAUACCGAUGGUGGCGACCGGCGCACGGGUGAGUAACACGUAUGCAACCUGCCUUCAACAAGGGCAUAACCCGUUGAAAGACGGACUAAUACCCUAUAAUACAGGGGCCCCGCAUGGGGAUAUUUGUUAAAGAUUUAUCGGUUGAAGAUGGGCAUGCGUUCCAUUAGCUGGUUGGUGGGGUAACGGCCCACCAAGGCAACGAUGGAUAGGGGAACUGAGAGGUUUAUCCCCCACACUGGUACUGAGACACGGACCAGACUCCUACGGGAGGCAGCAGUGAGGAAUAUUGGUCAAUGGACGCAAGUCUGAACCAGCCACGUCGCGUGAAGGAAGACGGCCCUACGGGUUGUAAACUUCUUUUAUACGGGAAUAAAGUGCCCCACGCGUGGGGUUUUGCAUGUACCGUAUGAAUAAGGAUCGGCUAACUCCGUGCCAGCAGCCGCGGUAAAU
rnacentral:rRNA from 1 species